CCACUUAAACUCAACAUUUUCCCGGGGCAGCGAACACUGAAUGACCUGCUCAAAACCAACAGCAAGGUCCGCUAUGAGGGAGUCGAAAACAAAACAACAAAAUGCACGUGGUAGAAACAAACUAACUUCUGAUCAUUCUGGAUGCAAAUGGAGCAGUGUCAUGGUGUCGUCUGUCAUUAGUUAGAGAAACGAUUCUUGCUGUUUUAAUCUGUCUGAAAUGUCCCGCUCAUCUGUCGCGUUAUAGUUGGAAACAACAUUUGUCGCUCCCGGUACUCGAUUGCAACAGCACACUGCCUGCUGUUAAAUAGUACGUAAUCCUCCAGCUCAUGCAUUAUGUUUCUCCACAUAACCUCCUGUGGAGGAGUCAACAGAAAGUCCAGCAGAGAAUUCCGGACAGAGAAAAGGAGCUGAAGGAUCUCAAAUAAACUAUAGCAUCUCUUAUUUAACCUUUAUUUAACUAGGCAAGUCAGUUAGGAACAAAUUCUUAUUUAUAAUGACAGCCUACCCCGGACAAACCCGGACGACGCUGGUCUAAUUGUGAGUAUUGAUAUACUCUCGCUACGUCUAACAACCUUUUAAUAGAAUAUAGGAUAUUGUGUGCCUACAACAACCAGAAGCAUCCGUCAACCCCUUGUCUUUUUUUUUUUAGCCUUGGUUUUAAUUUCUGUCCUAACAGCGGACUGCACACGCAUCAGUAAAGGUCAGUGAUAUGAUCUUUACUGAGAAAAUGAACCACAUUGAGAGAAGGCGCUCUGAUGUGAAGGUGGGUGCUCUGAUGUGAAAGUAGGUGCUCUGAUGUGAAGGUAGGUGCUCUGAUGUGAAGGUGGUGCUCUGAGGUGAAGGUAGGUGCUCUGAUGUGAAGGUAGGUGCUCUGAGGUGAAGGUAGGUGCUCUGAUGUGAAGUUAGGUGCUCUGAUGUGAAGGUAGGUGCUCUGAUGUGAAGGUAGGUGCUCUGAUGUGAAGGUGGUGCUCUGAGGUGAAGGUAGGUGCUCUGAUGUGAAGGUAGGUGCUCUGAGGUGAAGGUAGGUGCUCUGAGGUGAAGGUAGGUGCUCUGAUGUGAAGGUAGGUGCUCUGAUGUGAAGGUGGGUGCUCUGAUGUGAAGGUAGGUGCUCUGAUGUGAAGGUAGGUGCUCUGAUGUGAAGCUAGGUGCUCUGAUGUGAAGGUAGGUGCUCUGAUGUGAAGGUAGGUGCUCUGAGGUGAAGGUAGGUGCUCUCGGGUGAAGGUAGGUGCUCUGAUGUGAAGGUGGGUGCUCCGAGGUGAAGGUGGGUGCUCCGAGGUGAAGGAGGGUGCUCUGAGGUGAAGGUAGGUGCUCUGAUGUGAAGCUAGGUGCUCUGAGGUGAAGGUGGGUGCUCUGAGGUGAAGGUAGGUGCUCUGAGGUGAAGGAAGGUGCUCUGAGGUGAAGGUAGGUGCUCUGAUGUGAAGGUAGGUGCUCUGAUGUGAAAGUGGGUGCUCUGAGGUGAAAGUGGGUGCUCUGAGGUGAAGGUGGGUGCUCUGAGGUGAAGGUAGGUGCUCUGAGGUGAAGGAAGGUGCUCUGAGGUGAAGGUAGGUGCUCUGAUGUGAAGGUAGGUGCUCUGAUGUGAAAGUGGGUGCUCUGAGGUGAAAGUGGGUGCUCUGAGGUGAAAGUGGGUGCUCUGAGGUGAAGGUGGGUGCUCUGAGGUGAAGGUGGGUGCUCUGAGGUGAAGGUGGGUGCUCUGAGGUGAAGGUAGGUGCUCUGACGUGAAAGUAGGUGCUCUGAGGUGAAGGUAGGUGCUCUGAGGUGAAGGUAGGUGCUCUGAGGUGAAUAAGGUAGGUGCUCUGAGGUGAAUAAGGUAGGUGCUCUGAGGUGAAUAAGGUAGGUGCUCUGAGGUGAAUAAGGUAGGUGCUCUGAGGUGAAUAAGGUAGGUGCUCUGAGGUGAAUAAGGUAGGUGCUCUGAUGUGAAUAAGGUAGGUGCUCUGAUGUGAAUAAGGUGGGUGCUCUGAUGUGAAGCUGGGUGCUCUGAUUUGAAGGUGGGUGCUCUGAUGUGAAGGUAGGUGCUCUGAGGUGAAGAUGGGUGCUCUGAGGUGAAGGUGGGUGCUCUGAUGUGAAGCUGGGUGCUCUGAUGUGAAGGUGGGUGCUCUGAGGUGAAGGUGGGGCUCUGAGGUGAAGGUGGGUGCUCUGAGGUGAAAGUAGGUACUCUGAGGUGAAGGUAGGUGCUCUGAUGUGAAGGUAGGUGCUCUGAUGUGAAGGUAGGUGCUCUGAUGUGAAGGUGUGUGCUCUGAUGUGAGGCUAGGUGCUCUGAUGUGAAGGUGGGUGAUCUGAUGUGAAGGUAGGUGCUCUGAGGUGAAGGUAGGUGCUCUGAGGUGAAGGUAGGUGCUCUGAUGUGAAGGUAGGUGCUCUGAGGUGAAGGUAGGUGCUCUGAGGUGAAAGUGGGUGCUCUGAGGUGAAGGUGGGUGCUCUGAGGUGAAGGUGGGUGCUCUGAGGUGAAGGUAGGUACUCUGAGGUGAAGGUAGGUGCUCUGAUGUGAAUAAGGUAGGUACUCUGAUGUGAAGGCAGGUGCUCUGAGGUGAAGGUAGGUGCUCUGAUGUGAAGAAGGUAGGUGCUCUGAGGUGAAGGUGGGUGCUCUGAGGUGAAGGUGGGUGCUCUGAGGUGAA
rnacentral:lncRNA from 1 species